UCCUACGGGAGGCAGCAGUGGGAAUUUGGACAAUGGGGGAAACCCUGAUCCAGCCAGUGCCGCGUGCAGGAUGAAGGUCCUUCGGUUGUAAACUGCUUUUGUACGGAACGAAAAGGUCCUUUCUAAUAAAGAGGGCUCAUGACGGUACCGUAAGAAUAAGCACCGGCUAACUACGUGCCAGCAGCCGCGGUAAUACGUAGGGUGCGAGCGUUAAUCGGAAUUACUGGGCGUAAAGCGUGCGCAGGCGGUUAUAUAAGACAGAUGUGAAAAUCCCCGGGCUCAACCUGGGAACUGCAUUAGUGACUGUAUAGCUGGAGUGCGGCAGAGGGGGAUGGAAUUCCGCGUGUAGCAGUGAAAUGCGUAGAUAUGCGGAGGAACACCGAUGGCGAAGGCAAUCCCCUGGGCCUGCACUGACGCUCAUGCACGAAAGCGUGGGGAGCAAACAGGAUUAGAUACCCUGGUAGUCCACGCCCUAAACGAUGUCAACUGGUUGUUGGGAAUUCACUUUCUCAGUAACGAAGCUAA
rnacentral:rRNA from 1 species